UACGUAGGGUGCAAGCGUUGUCCGGAAUUAUUGGGCGUAAAGAGCUCGUAGGCGGUCUGUCGCGUCUGCUGUGAAAACUCGGGGCUUAACCCCGGGCCUGCAGUGGGUACGGGCAGACUAGAGUGCGGUAGGGGAGACUGGAAUUCCUGGUGUAGCGGUGAAAUGCGCAGAUAUCAGGAGGAACACCGGUGGCGAAGGCGGAUCUCUGGGCCGAUACUGACGCUGAGGAGCGAAAGCGUGGGGAGCGAACAGG
rnacentral:rRNA from 1 species